CGUGAACUUGGAAGUAGAGAUUACCUUUGUCAGAAGUGCUGGCUUUCCAAGGAAGACUGCAUGUGUUCAAGAGUCAUACCCUAUCAUCCUUGGCACCAUAUAAGGUUUUGGUUGUAUAUGCAUCCCAAGGAUUUCUUGCGCCAAAAUAACACGGGAAAACUAUUAUGGCAAGUAUUUGGUGUUCAGGCUGCUACUUUGUGCUUAUUUGGCAUUUCGGAACACGAAGAAAUGUUGUGGAAUGCAUUAAAACUUGCAGGUUCUGAUCCGUUUCUUUUGAUUUGUAUGUAAUGCGAUAUAAAAAGUGGAAGGCACUGCUAAC